rnacentral:rRNA from 1 species
AACGCUUGCUGUGUGCCUAAUACAUGCAUGUUGAACGGGAUGUUUUAGUUUACUAGAACAUUUAGUAGCGAAUGGGUGAGUAACACGUACCUAACCUACCUUUAGGAUUGGGAUAACUACUGGAAACAGUAGCUAAUACCGAAUAUAAUAUUUUUUCGCAUGAAGAAAUAUAGAAAGGAGCCUUUAAAGCUUCACCUAGAAAUGGGGGUGCGGAACAUUAGUUAGUUGGUGAGGUAAUGGCUCACCAAGACAAUGAUGUUUAGCGGGGCCAAGAGGUUGUACCGCCACACUGGGACUGAGAUACGGCCCAGACUCCUACGGGAGGCAGCAGUAAGGAAUUUUCCACAAUGAGCGAAAGCUUGAUGGAGCGACACAGCGUGCAGGAUGAAAUCCCUCGGGAUGUAAACUGCUGUUAUAAGGAAAGAAAAAAUCAAAUAGGAAAUGAUUUGAUCUUGACGGUACCUUAUUAGAAAGCGACGGCAAACUAUGUGCCAGCAGCCGCGGUAAUACAUAGGUCGCAAGCGUUAUCCGGAAUUAUUGGGCGUAAAGCGUCCGUAGGUUUUUUGUUAAGUUUAAGGUUAAAUACUGAAGCUCAACUUCAGCCCGCUUUAGAUACUGGCAAAAUAGAAUUAUGAAGAGGUUAGCGGAAUUCCUAGUGUAGCGGUGGAAUGCGUAGAUAUUAGGAAGAACACCAAUAGGCGAAGGCAGCUAACUGGUCAUACAUUGACACUAAGGGACGAAAGCGUGGGGAGCAAACAGGAUUAGAUACCCUGGUAGUCCACGCUGUAAACGAUGAUCAUUAGUUGGUGGUAUUAAAUCACUAACACAGCUAACGCGUUAAAUGAUCCGCCUGAGUAGUAUGCUCGCAAGAGUGAAACUUAAAGGAAUUGACGGGAACCCGCACAAGCGGUGGAGCAUGUGGUUUAAUUUGAAGAUACGCGUAGAACCUUACCCACUCUUGACAUCCUUGCAAAGCUAUAGAGAUAUAGUGGAGGUUAACAAGAUGACAGAUGGUGCAUGGUUGUCGUCAGCUCGUGUCGUGAGAUGUUAGGUUAAGUCCUGCAACGAGCGCAACCCCUUUCUUUAGUUACUAACGUGAAAGACGAGGACUCUAAAGAUACUGCCUGCGUAAGCCGGAGGAAGGUGGGGACGACGUCAAAUCAUCAUGCCUCUUACGAGUGGGGCAACACACGUGCUACAAUGGCUACUACAAAGAGACGCAAGACGGUGACGUUAAGCAAAUCUCAAAAAAGUAGUCCCAGUUCGGAUUGAAGUCUGCAACUCGACUUCAUGAAGUCGGAAUCGCUAGUAAUCGCAGAUCAGCUACGCUGCGGUGAAUACGUUCUCGGGUUUUGUACACACCGCCCGUCACACCAUGGGAGUUGGUAAUGCCCAAAGUCGGUGAGUUAACUUCGGAGACCAUUGCCUAAGGCAGGACUGAUGACUGGGGUGAAGUCGUAACAAGGUAUCCCUACGAGAACGUGGGGAUGGAACACCUCCUUUCU